rnacentral:misc_RNA from 1 species
AAAGAACGCAGCCUGCGGCAGCUCCUACGGGAUCGGGUUUUCACACGGUCGAUGGAGCUGUCGCAGGCUGCGAUCUUU